rnacentral:rRNA from 1 species
AUUGAACGCUGGCGGCAAGCCUAACACAUGCAAGUCGAACGAGUGGCGGACGGGUGAGUAAUGUCUGGGAAACUGCCUGAUGGAGGGGGAUAACUACUGGAAACGGUAGCUAAUACCGCAUACCAUCGGAUGUGCCCAGAUGGGAUUAGCUAGUGGGUGGGGUAAAGGCUCACCUAGGCGACGAUCCCUAGCUGGUCUCAGAGGAUGACCAGCAACACGGGAACUGAGAAACGGUCCAGAGUCCGACGGGAGGCAGCAGUGGGGAAUAUUGCACAAUGGGCGCAAGCCUGAUGCAGACAUGCCGCGUGUAUGAAGAAGGCCUUCGGGUUGUAAAGUACUUUCAGCGGGGAGGCGGUAGCCGAAGAAGAAGCACCGGCUAACUCCGUGCCAGCAGCCGCGGUAAUUG